GAUUAGCUCGAAGUGGUGCUGGCUCAGCAUCUGUGUUGACAACUUCCCAUAGGUCGAAUGCCUGCAGGUAAGUCCUCAUCUUAAUUGCCCAAAUGUUGAAGCCCUCUCCAUUGAAGACAGGUGGUGAAGCUGGCGAAAAACCUGAUGAUGCCAUCGUUUUGAUACUGAACUACAACAGGUCCUCUAAGAAUAUGGCUCUAGAUACCAAUUGUUGGAUCUAAGUGCAACAGCAGCAAGCUUCAACAGAAUGCUUGUCGAACAAGUCUCGUGACUUGCAGGAGAAACAAAGCAGAAAACUCAAAUAGAUUUUGAAGCAAAACUAAAAAACGGAGAGCAUAUGGAUGAAAACUUGUUGAAUUCAUUCAAAAAACUGAAUAUGGCACAAAGCCAAUACAUAAACAAGCUUACAACUUGACAAAACAGUAGGUUAACCUAAACUUCACCUACUACCACUAAUACACAUAGUAACUUGUGCUAAUUAGUUUGAACAAAUAAACAAAGCUAAUUUAUCACUUUUUGCUCUUUUUCACUCUCAAUCUCUUUUUGCUCUUUUUCAUUCUCUUUUUCUUUUUCCUCACUUGUUUUAACAG
rnacentral:lncRNA from 1 species